rnacentral:lncRNA from 1 species
UCUGCAGAGGUUUGCGCACUUUUCCCCACAAGACUCGAUCGCCUCCGUUGGAUUUCUCGCACUACAUGGUGUUUGAGAAACGGAUGACCGAGACACAGUCUUUCAGAAGCACUAGCACCUUACGAUGGAUAGACCGGUACACCUACUUUCCCCUACAUCUGCUAGUCUACCCUGUAAGAGUUCGCACGACUUACUCAACUAUGCCAGAGCCCAUAAUGGCUUGUGGCUACACACGGAAGUUUCUAGUAUGAAUAAUCUCAUGAUCCCUUUGAGCUUGGGUGGCGGUCCAAAAGAAAAACAGGCAAGUCCUGGAAUACCCAGGUGCCUCAGUCCACCCAGAUGUGUGUUUAAGUUGCCACCUUAGAUAAACCCUUAAUUAUCAAUCUCACAUCUGUCAUGGACAUCACUCACCUAAUCCACGUCUACUAGCAUAGCAUGGCAUAAUAAGCAAACGCAGAAGUAACUCCCAAAGGUUUGACAAUAAACAGGUAAUAGGUACUACCUCAUCUACUUCCCAUCCCACAGUUUAAUUAGAUCCUAAUCAUGCAAUGUGUGAGGAUUGAUCUAAUGCAAGAAAAACUGGGUUGUAUAAAAGGUAUGAUCAAAGUGUUACUUGCCUUGCUGAUGAUCCGCGAAACCUAGCGAUUCGAAGAAACAGGCGGCACACUCCGGGUACUCUAUCGCAGACAAACAAACAAGCAUACAAUAAGUACUCAUCUAAUGCACAGGUAAAACUCAAAUAAGAGAUUUAACCAGAAGGUUCAACUUAAGAACUCCGGUUGGAAAAAGAAAUCAAUCGAACGAAGCAAAGAAAGUCAAACGGCGAAAGAAAACAACUUUGUUCUAGUAAUCUGAAUCUAAUUCAAAUUUUACAGUAGCAAAAACUUGUUUGAGUUGAUUAUUCGAAUAGAGGGUUUCGAGACGAAACUCGAGGCGCUUGAAUCGCCUGAUUCCGAUAAACGAGCGAAAAGAUAAACUGAAAUGAAAAUCAGAUCAGGAAUCGCGAUCAGAAAAAUCGCGGAUUUAAUCCGACGAAAAAGGAAAACGACGAACGGAUUUUUUUUAAAUGGCACGGAAAACGAGGCGGCGGCGAACCUCGGGCGGCGCGCGGCUCCGGCGGGGCGGCGGCGGCAGCUGGGCUGGGGCGCUAGGGUUAUGGGGCUGGGGCGGCUGGGCUCUCGGGCCCCGGGGCGGCGCCUUAUAAAGGCCUCGGCCAGGCGGAGUCCUGGCCGAGUACGGCCCAAAGACGGUUCCUUUUUUUUAUGCUCGGAAGAAAAAUAAAAAGAAAUACUAAACGGACUCCAAAAAUCCUGAAAUAAAUUUUACCGGGCUUCUAGAAUCAAGCCCGACAAAGUGAACAUUUAUUUGGGACCUAAAUGCAAUUUUGAAAAAUGCGCAUUUUUCCUAAAUUCAAAUAAAAAUAUCAAAAAAACUCCGAAAUUUUUUAUUAGACCUUCAAUAUUUCUAUAUUUUGGGAAAGUCAUUUUAGUCCCUCUCGCAUAUUUUUGUAAUAGAAAUAAUUGAUGAUAAAAUAAAUAAAAUCAAAUGAUCCUAUGCUCAAAAUUUGAGAAAACUCAAAUGUGAGAAUAACGAAAUCCCCAACUCUCUCCGUGGGUCCUUGAGUUGCUUAGAAUUUUCUAGGAUCAAAACCCAAAAGCAAAUAAAAUAUGAUAUGCAUGAUGAUCUAAUGUAUAACAUUCCAAAUUGGAAUUUUGGGAUGUUACAGUUACCAAAGAUUGGUUUGAUGAAAACCACAAGGGAGCGAAAACCAUGAAAAUAGAUAGGUGGAGGGUGUAAGGUUGGACAAAGGGAUGGUGAGGAGAAAAUUAAGUGAAAGAUAUAACCUUAGAUUCUUUUCAAGUAGUGGAGAUUUUUCAGCCCUUUCUUAAAUUGGUAAAUAAGUAUGUGCCCAUGAUUAAUCUACUUUAUUGGGUUACCAAAUGAUUGGAUUGAUCUAGUUUAUUGGGUUACCAAAGAUUGGUUGGAUGAAACAUGAAAAAGAGGAAAAAAUCGAUGGAGGGUGGAAGGUUGGAGGAGGGAUGGUUGGGGAGAAAACUGAGUGAAAAUGGAUCCUUAGGUUCUUUUUAAGCAGUGGAGAUAGAGAUAAACAACUUUUUGUUACAAAAGCAUGGAGUGCACAAUAAAUAUAAAAAGGGGGACAUAUGUGGUUGUGAAAAAAGCAACAUACUAAGUGAUGACUCACAAGUAUAGGGGAUCGUGAUAUUCUUCGAGGGAAGUAUUCCCAAAUUUAUUGAUUAGUAGGGGAUUCAAAGAAUAUUUGUAAGCUUUAGUAGUUGAGUUGCCAAUUCCUGGAAAGAUAACUUUCUUACAACGAUUUAUUAGUACUCCCUCUGUUCCUAAAUAUUUGUCUUUCUAGAGAUUUCAACAACUGACUACAUACAGAUUAAAAUGAGUUUACCUACACUCUAAAAUAUGUCCAUAUACAUCCGUAUGUGGUAGUCUAUUUGAAAUCUCUAAAAAGACAAAUAUUUAGGAACGGAGGGAGUAGUAUAGCAAUAUGAUAGUAAUAGUGAUACUAACAGCAACAGUAAUAGUAACAAGUUUGCAAAGCAGUAACAAAGUGCAGUAGUAGUGAUUUUAGCGAAAACAAUAAUAGCAAAAGCAUAGUCAUGAAGUAACACUAAAAAAAUACACUUUCGUGAUGAUACGUGUUUGUCACGGUAGGUCACGUUUUCUGUCAUGCAUGUACAUCCAUGACAAAUUUAUGACAGAAUCAAGAUAGUCAUACCUGAGCUGUCGUAGAAGUGUUCCAUGACAUUACCAAAAUUAUCAUCACGGAAGUGUCCACUUCCAUGACGGUAAAUCGCGCAUCACAGAAGUGCUUUCGUCAAGGGUGACCGACACGUGGCAUCCACCAUAACAGAACAUCGAUAACCCGUUAACAACCCAGACCAAUGGGAUUUUCCAUGUGUAAAAUCAUCAUUGGCUGGAGGAAACACCUGUCGGCUCACCGUUGGGACAGAUGUCAUUCACUUAUUGGACCCAAAGCGCCUAUGAUACUCGACAUGUGGCACGGCCCAACAGAGGCCGAUUCCUGUGAAAAGGCCGGUCCGCUUGACUUGGUCAAAAGGUUGAGGGCCGGCCCACGGCAAGCCCGUUAAUGGCCUAUUCGCAUAUAGCCCAUUUACAUCCCGCUAACCCAGGGCCCGUUUACGGCCUAUCCGAAUUAGGCCCAGUAGCAUCAUAUGGGCUGUCCAAUAUAAUUCCGGCCCGUUUUAACUUCCGGCCCAUGUAUGGCCCAUGAUGUCUUUUGGCCCAUAUGAGGCCCUUAGUAACCCUCGGCCCAUUAAUGGUCCAUGGUAAAACUGGCCUGUAAUGAACAGUGUAUCACUUUAUACCCAUUAACGACCCAUUAUUCCGUUGGGCCAUUUCCAGUCCAUGUUGUCUUUCGGCCUUCUCAGGGCCCAUUUAUUCUUGGGCUCAUUUCCGGCAUUCGUUUACUUUCGGCCCGUUACUGUCAUUUUCUGCUUGUGGGCCAAAUACAGCCCGUGGUUAUAGUUGGUCUGUUUGUGGCCCGUUAAUACGUUGGGCCAUUUUCAUAGCGUCAUUAAAUACAGCCUAUUAACGACGGCCCGUUAUGGUCGGCCCAUGAACAAAUGACUUCAACUCUAGCCCAUUUACGACCAUAAUGUGGUCUGUUAUUGGCCCAUGUUUGGCCAACCGAUCAUACGGCCCAUAGAAGGCCCAUUGAUGAUACGGCUCGUAGAAGGCCUAUUGUGUAUACGCCCUGUAGAAGGCCCAUUGUUCCUACGGCCCGUAGGAGGCCCAUGUUAACUACAGUAAAUAUGUAGCCCAUUGUUAAUGUGGCCUAGUUUUUAAAAAAUAGGUUAUUGCAGCCACUAGCAAACCGCGGAAAAGAACUGCACUGACUACAAGAAAACAAAUAAACAAGACAACGGAAAUAAAUAAGCAAGCAACUUACGCUAGGCUAUCAUGGCUAUUACACAUAUUACAUCCACUGGGCAUCAAAGUUCACCACAAGUGCAAAUAUAGGGAACAAAGCAGCAUAUAAACGCCGCAAAAAAACAAGUCCAGAACUGAAACCACUUCAGAAGAGCUCAAGAAACAAUAUCAUGGGCACCCAUAAUGCUGGCAAGAUGCUUAGCAAGCUUAUUAACUUUCUCUUGUUUGGUGCUUAAAUCCUCCAGCACUUGCUAUUGCACCAGAAAGUAAAUCUGAAUUCUGCAGGGACUUCCUCAGUCCUUCGGCUUCCUGUCGCAUAACAUCUGAUCGAUGUCUUUUAACUUGAAGUUGAGACUCAAGAAGCCGAACUGAUUCAGGCAGCGAGUUCGAAGAGCUGGUGCCAGCAGUAGUAGCCAGUAACUCGAACACUACAUCAAGACAGGACUUUGGGGUUGUCUCAGUGUCUUCAAUAUAGUUUUUAUCAACUUUCUUGGAGAACCACGGGGAUGUCUCACUAUCUUGAACCUGAUUUGCAUUAAUUCCUUUACCAUUGCAUAACGGGGGUACUCUUCUCCAAUAUUUUAUCCGCGUUCUAAAGGAGAAACACACAAACACAUCACAGGUUUACAAUGAAGUAUAUGAAACUCAUUUUGGUAAACCAGUUCAGUAGUAAGGUGGACAGGAUAACAUCAUGAAACAAACAUAUAUCUAUGUAAUAUGAUCACUGUAUGGUCUAUAUCAUUCUAGUUUAUGUUGCCAAAUCAAGAUAGAUAUAGUUCGAAUCAUAUCUAUUUAAGACAAAGUAGCAUAGAAAGAAUAUAAGUGUGGGAAACUACACAGCAAUAACAACACUUGUAAUGUGCAUUGCGUGAGAACAUAACUGUUUAUUCAAUUGAAACUGAAAUCAACAUAGAGCAAGUUACAACAGCAAACACGUUAAAGAAACAGGUUUAAAACAUACCUGUUGCGCCAUUGGAGUUUCAAUUGCAUCCUUCAAAUUUGAAAUUAGUUGGUAUGAGUAGAUACAGUGAUGCAAGAGCAAAGUAGUAUGAACCAUAGCUAGGGAACCUGACCUGAGAACAAUUCUUCUUCUACUUUAAGCGUUGACUUGGGGUUCGGAGUUGUGGUCCUCGUGCUUUGGGCACUACAGUUGCCUUACUAACUACUCAUGUUUGGGUGCUCUGUGGUGGAGACGGUGCUGUGUCAAUGGGAACUGGGUUACUAUCUCCUGGGGUUGGGGUUAGAAGGGGUGUAGCUCGUUCUCUUUCGAACUAGGUAGGGGUACAAUCUGCGUGAGUCUGGGUUAUGUGUGGUGGGGCUGGUUCUUGGGCAAGUACAAAUGUGGUUCUAUCGCCAUCAACAGGUAGCACGAUCUUUUCUAAAGACCGUGUUUUUUACUCCCACAGAUACUGCCAUCACCCCAUCCAAUUGAAAUGGCUGAUAAAGAAGAAAAGUAAUUGAAUGUACAGACAUUGUAAGAUAGACAGGUGCAAUGGAUACUAGGGAAGAAAACAGGGCAUGAAAUAAUUCAUAUUUAUGUUGUCUAACCAAACAGAAUAGCAAGACAUAAUUUCAAAUAUAUGAUGGCUAAUUAAACAGGAUAGCAUCACACAAUUUCGCAUGUAUGAUGGCUAACUAAACAGGAUAGAAUGACAUACUUCAAAAUAUGAUGACCAUGUAAAUAGGAUGACAUGAUAUAACUAUACGAUGUGUCUAUUAAAGUGGUUGGCAUGCCAUAAAUCACAAACAUGCCGUCGAUGGAAACAUGAUGGCAUGAUAUAAUUCAUGGAUAGAAUGACAUAAUUCAAAAUAUGAUGACUAUGUGAACAGGAUGAGAUGAUAUAACUAUAUUAUGUCUUUAGAAAAUGGGUUGGCAUGCCAUAAUUCAGAUACAUGCUGUCUAUGUAAACAUCAUUGCAUGAUAUAAUUCAAAUAUAUGAUUUAUAUACUAAGGAGUGAGCAGAGGGAAAUGGCAUAUAUGAUGUGUCAACUAAGGAGAUGGCAUUGAAUAUCGUGUAUAUGAUGUAAAAACUAAGCAUUGCAAUACAACAUAUGCAUGAUAUGAGUAAUAUAGCCCCGCCAAGUUUGAGCAUACACCUCAGGGGGAUAAUAGGACUGGUCAUCUGCCUCUGAAUCCUCCCGUGAAGAGCUAUCUAUAACCAGCAACAUAUCUACUUCACCAGGUAGCAUUCUCUGCUCUAAAGACCUUGUUUUCACUCCAGAUUUCUCCAUCACCAAUUCAAAUGGCUGAUGCACAGGAAGAGCAGUUGAAUAUACAAACAUUGUCAACAAAAGCAAUGAGAAAUACAAAAAAAGGAUGGCAUGAUAUAAUUCACACAUAUGACGCUUGGCUAAACAACAUGGCAUUGCAUAAUUCACAUAUAUAAUGCCUUGCAACAAGAUAGCAUUGCAUAAUUCACAUAUAUAAUGUCUUGCAAAAAUAUGGCAUGGCAUAAUUCACACAUAUGGUAACUAGACACUAAACAGGUGGCAUUCCCACAAAUCAUGUCUAAACUAACCAAAUGACAUAGCAAUGCAAGAUACCAUACACACGAUAUGAGCAACAUAACCCUGCCAAGUUAGAGCAUGCACCUCAAGAGGGGGGGGGGAUAGGACCGGUCAUUUUUCUCUGAAUCCUCCUCUGAGGAGCUAUUUGUAACUAGCAAGACAUGCGCUUCGUUGGAUAGCAUUGUCUUCUCUGAAGACCUUGUUUCCACACCAUAUUUUUCCAUGACCAUGCCGAAUGGCUAAUGCACAGGAAGAGUAAUUGGAUGUACUCAAAUUGUUGACAAAUUUAACACGUAAUAAAAAAUGAUGUCAUGAUAUAAUUCACAUAUAAGAUGACUGGCUAACAAGGGUGGCAUUGCAAAAUUCACAUAUAUGAUGCCUAGAUAAACAAGAUGGCAUUGCAUGAUUCCUAUAUACGAUCAAGAAACUAAACAGAUGGCAUUGACACAAAGCAUGUCUAAACUAAGCAGAUGACAUCUUUUAUGUAUACAGUAAGCAAUGCAAGGCACCAUAUGCAUGAUAUUACCAACAUCAGCAUGCCAAGUUAGAGCGAAGACCUCAUGGGGUAAAUAGGUGUGGUCUUCUACUUCUGAAUCCCCCUCAGAACAGUUAUCUUCCUCUUGAUUACGAUCCGAAAUGGGUGGAGGGGGGCUGCCUUUGCUCCCACCAUGGAGCGAUGUCUGCAUGAAAUGUUAUUGCCACGCAAGGCUCGUCUCUUUUUCUCUCCAUGUUCAGUUCCAUUGUGUACAAUAACUGACAUGCAUAGGAAUAAAAGAUAGUGAUUGUGGGAGUCCUGGAUUAGGGGGUCUCCGGACAGCCGGACUAUAUCCUUUGGCCGGACUGUUAGACUAUGAAGAUACAAGAUUGAAGACUUCGUCUCAUGUCCGGAUGGGAUUCUACUUGGCGUGGAAGGCAAGCUAGGCAAUACAGAUAUGUACAUCUCCUCCUUUGUAACCGACCUUGUGUAACCCUAGCCCUUUCCGGUGUCUAAAUAAACUGGAGGGUUUUAGACCGUAGGACAACAUACAAUCAUACCAUAGGCUAGCUUCUAGGGUUUAGCCUCUCCGAUCUCGUGGUCGAUCAACUCUUGUAAUACUCAUAUCAUUAAGAAUAAAUCAAGCAGGACGUAGGGUUUUACCUCCAUCAAGAGGGCCCGAACCUGGGUAAAACAUCGUGUCCCCUGCCUCCUGUUACCAUCGGCCUUAGACGCACAGUUCGGGACCCCCUACCUGAGAUCCGCCGGUUUUGACACCGACAUUGGUGCUUUCAUUGAGAGUUCCUCUGUGUCGUCGCCGUUAGGCUUGAUGACUCCUACGAUCAUCGAUAGCGAUGCAGUCUAGGGUGAGACUUUUCUCCCCGGACAGAUCUUUGUGUUCGGCGGCUUCGCACUGCGGGCCAACUCGCAUGGCCAUCUGGAGCAGAUCGAAAGUUACGCCCCUGGCCACCAGGUCAGGUUUGUAAGCUUAAACUACACGUCCGACAUCCGUGGAGACUGGAUCUUCGACGGAUUCGAGCCCCUAGCUUGUGUGCCGCGCAGUCAUGAUGAGUAUGAUUUAGCUCUAUCAUCGGACCGUAUUCAGGAGAUCGCACCGGCAGCCGCCCCGAGCCUCAAUUCGGAGCUAGUCGCGCUAUCCAUGGACGGGUGGAUGGACCACGUCAUGGAGGCCGUACCCUCAGGGGUGAUCGAGCCAAAUAUCGACCUUACCCUUCAUGAGAGCCGUGUCGCCAAACUACCGGAUCCUUCUCCGGCCACGGACUCUGAACCGCCUGCGCCCGUGCCUAUCGAAUCCGAUUGGGCGCCGAUCAUGGAGUUUACCUCCGCGGAUAUUUUCCAGCACUCGCCCUUCGGCGACAUACUGAACUCAUUAAGGUCUCUCUCCUUGUCAGGAGAAUCCUGGCCGAACUAUGUCCGGCAGGAUUAGGAUGCGGAUGACGAAGAAAUUCGCCGCCCACCCACCACCCACUUAGUAGCCACUGUCGAUGACCUAACCGACACGCUCGACUUCGACUCCGAAGACUUCGACGGUAUGGACGACGAUGCAGGAGUCAAAGAGGAACCACUGCUCAUAGGGCACUGGACGCCCACUUCAUCACAUGACGUAUACAUGGUGGACACACCCAAAGAAAAUAAUGACAAGGAACGGAAGGACGCAGCGACGAGUGGUUCCCUCGAGCAGCAGUCAAAGCGGCGGCGUAAAUGUCGCCCCAAAUCCUGCCCCGGCAGAAAUAACGAUCACAUAGACCCUGCAUUAGAGUAGGGUGAACAAUUGCCCGACCACGGUAACACGGAAAAUCAAGCCGAACAACCCAACCCCGUCGAAGAUAACAGUCCGGACGACAUCACACCAGACAUGCGCCAGGAGCAACGUAAUGCCCACCAAAGGCUUGUUGCCACGGCGAGGAGUCUGAAAAAAUAGAAGCAAAGGCUCAAGGAUGCACAAGACACACUCAAAAUAAAAUGGAAUGAAGUACUCAACACAGCAGCGAAGUACGACAGUAAUCGCCACACCAAGAGCUACCUGAAGCGGAAGUUGCUACCUGAAUUCGAUGAGGAGGCCUUAGAUCCCCUGCAACCAAAAAUUAAAAUGGCCAUCCGGCCGGAUAGACGACCUCACGGUCAACAUAAAGCGGCGAACAACGCCACACAUAAGGCAAUGCACGACCCACGCGAGGACUCGCAUCAAAAGGACGGCGCAACGAGAUCCAUUUAUGGACCACGCAAGCGCGCUCCAGCAUACGAUGCAAUACAACAAACAUCCGAACACCACGAUACACCCAGAUACAGGGGUGCCGCACACCCCCUAUGUUUCACCGAUGAGGUGCUGGACCAUGAAUUUCCAGAGAGAUUCAAACCCGUAAACAUAGAGGCAUACGACGGAACAACCAACCCUGGGGUCUGGAUUGAGGACUAUAUCCUCCAUAUCCAUAUGGCUCGAGGGGAUGAUCUCCACGCGAUCAAGUACUUACGCCUCAAGCUCAAAGGGCCAGCUCGGCACUGGCUUAAAAGCCUCCCCGAAAGCUCCAUUGGAAGCUGGGAAGAGCUCGAAGUACCAUCUCUGUAGCGACCAGACCCGAAUGGAUCAAGUCUACUGUGCUCCGGUGUCAUCCCUGGAUCAGUAAUGCUGACACCACACAGUACAUCGAAGGAUUUAUAGCAGAGUGGCAAUCACACACUUAUUACAUCGAUGUCUCCGAAGAGAACUUAUUACAACAAUAUGGCUUAAGGCCAUCUAAUAUCGAUAACAGUGGAAGACUUGGAAGAUAAAAGGGUCCAUCAACUCCAACGGCAUCACUGAAUAUAGAACCACGACCUAAAAGCACCUUAAUCGUCAUCUGAAAAGUCUGCAACAUUAAUGUUGCAGCCCGAAACGGGUCAGCACAUGGAAUAUGCUGGCAAUGUAACACAUAGAGAAUGAUGGAAUGAAACAGCUAUACUAUAUGCAUAUUUGGCUGGUGGAAAGCUCUAUGGUUACAGUUUUGCGUAAAGCCAGUUUCUCCCUACUGCAAAGGAAUAAAUUUACUAACUAUCAUGGUGGUUGUUAAACAUUGAGAAUGGUUGACAGCAUUCUCAAUCCCAAUUAAAAGUAAUCAUUAAUAACCCAACAAUAUUAAUUUAGAAGUAACAUGUUGAGAUUCACAUGAUAUUCAAGUACUAGAUACUCAAGUUGUCCAUAACCGGGGACACCGCUAAUCAUGAUUAGUUUAUUACAGUCUGCAGAGGUUUGCGCACUUUUCCCCACAAGACUCGAUCGCCUCCGUUGGAUUUCUCGCACUACUGGUGUUUGAGAAAUGGAUGACCGAGACAUAGUCUUUCAGAAGCGCUAGCACCUUACGAUGGAUAGACCGGUACACCUACUUUCCCCUACAUCUGCUAGUCUACCCUGUAAGAGUUCGCACGACUUAGUCAACUAUGCCAGAGCCCAUAUUGGCUUGUGGCUGCACACGUAAGUAUUUAGCAUGAAAGAUCUUAUGAUCCCUUUGAGCCUGGGUGGCGGUCCAAAAUAAAACAGGCAAGUCC